CCGAGAUGGUGCGCGGCGGAGCCCAGAGCAAACCCCGGGCGGGGCUGGGGUGACUGAGCUGCGAAUAUCCCCAUCCCAGCUGGACCCCGGCGCAGCGCUGAGAUGCCAGGUGGAUGGAUACAGGGAUGAGUGUGACUCUGACCAAUCCCAGCCCCUGGGGACAGAGGUGUCCGCACCUUACCGCUGGGCCCACCCCAGAAGUGGCUGCAUCUCAGCACCAGUCCCCGGGGCUCCCGCGGACAUCAUAGGACCUACAGUUGCGCUUGUCCUAUUGCUGCUGGUGGGGCUGGUCGGCGUCAUAGCUUGGAGGUAUUUGCGCUUUGGCAAACCGGUAAUAUCCACGUCUCUGAUCUCUGGCAAUCCCCAUCUCCUCCCGCCGGCCUUUGCCGGAGAUCCCCGCGCAAUCCAGGGCUGAGAAUUGCAGAGCCAGUUCAGAUGCAUGGAAACCCAGUUGGGGGGAGGUGAUUGAAUGGUGGUGGUUGGGUCCCACACAGAUACC
rnacentral:lncRNA from 1 species